rnacentral:tRNA from 1 species
AGUUAUUUAGUUUAAAUAAAAACAGAUAUUUUGAAAAUACCAAAUAAGAAGAAUACUCUUAAUAACUG